GCCCAGCUAGUAUGGUGGUAUGAUCCUCGGCUUGUAACCGAGUGGGUUCGAUUCCCGAGUAAGGCA